rnacentral:lncRNA from 1 species
ACCAUCCACCUGCAAACUGAAAUUCGAUUCAUCAUCACUAACCGUACCACUAUGAUUCAUCACGGAGCAGACGUCGUAGAAGCAAAAGGGAAGAGGAUCGAACAACUAGCGUGAGGACCGACUACUCGAGCUUCGAUCCGCCGUUGCCGUCACCGGUAAGAUCCUUCAUCUCAUCGUGUCGUCGAUUCAUUAGUAGUGGUGCAUUGCUAAUUCGGAGCUCAUUCCGGUUUUAUUGGUUUGCUCGUUUCAUUCCGUUGAGGAGUCCCGUAAGGGAUUCGAUUUCGUGGAGAGAUUGAUUUCUCGCAUCGGUUAGGAGAGGUUGAAGCGGAGGAUGACGUGAUUUUGUUUCAUCGUUUUGCGUCGCCGCCGCCGGUGGCGAAACCCGGCGCGACUAGGUUCUCCGUUGGAACCUCGUCCUGUUUGCUUCCUCUUGUUAGCCGCUGAGCGUGGAGAGUUGAGGAAGGUGACGACAGAUUCAUUCCUUCAUGACAAUCAUCUUGGGCUUACUCCAUCCAACUAAAGCCCAAGCAUAUGUUGGCUUCAGACACUCCCUUCUUAGCCGUGCACCCCAUGCGUUUGGGCCUGGUAUAUCCAGUCAUAAGGCCCAUUCAGUUGUUGUUUUCUUGAUUAGUCCAGUUCCCUGAUUUUGUGUGAUUACUAGUAGAUCAAUAGUUAAUAAUAGUAGUUAAUGGUAAUU